rnacentral:rRNA from 1 species
AUUCCAGCUCCAAUAGCGUAUACUAAUGCUGUUGCUGUUAAAAAGCUCGUAGUUCGAUAAGGAUUGAUUCUGGUUCAGAUUCAGUAUUCGCAGCUCGUCUGCAGUAUUCGAUGAGAUCCAUUUGGAAUUGGUUCUGCAAUGAGUGACUCGUACGGAUGAAGAGCUCUUCACUCAGGUUGGAAUCGCUUUCGCAGCCAACAUCUGCACAAGUACAGUCGUUCGUGAUACCAUGAACAAAACAGCGUGCUCAAGCAAGUGAUUCUGCUCGAAUGUUCAAGCAUGGAAUAUCAAGGAAUCGACCGUGAGUCUAAUCUUUACUUGGUUUUCUGUGUGCGUCUUGGAGAAUUGGACCUGAGAAUUUCGUGCCGCGGUGCAGUUCCUCCGGG